GCACGGAUGGCCGAGUGGUCUAAGGCGCCAGACUCAAGCAUACGCUUGUCGCGAGAUAGCGGACUGGGCAUUCUGGUUCUCGUACGAGAGCGUGGGUUCAAAUCCCACUCCGUGCA
rfam:Haemonchus contortus, ISE/inbred ISE, WGS project CAVP01000000 data, contig: Hcontortus_46167